rnacentral:lncRNA from 1 species
UAAAUAUAAACUUUUCAUGUACAGGGAAAUUUCCGAAAUUUCAUACCAUUGACUCUCCUUCAAGUUUUACUGGGAACUUACAAAUGUUACAAAACAUUAAAUAAAUAAAAACUAUAGACUCCAAAUUUAAAAACCAUUUGCCCUGAUUUGUUGGUAGCAGGGUUUCCAUGUGCAAUGUUCUCUUGAUAAUUUAGAACCAACUGAACCUGGCCUUGCGCACACGGAUACAAGAAAACUAAAACGACACGUGGGUGUGGGUGACCGCUGGGAGAACACGAAAUCGCUGAUGUGGCGGACACUGGAAAUCGGUUAGAAUCCGCAUCAGCAAAUUGACCCUUCUUUCCCCUCCACCUCAACCAUAUCUGAAAGGAAGUGGGGCCCAUCUCAUGACUGCCCUGCAUGCGGGGCCCACUUUGUUUUCCUCAGUCGGCUUCAUUUCAUACGCCAGGUUUCUCCAUCAGUCCGUCCUCAUCGUGGUCUCUCUCUCUCAACAACCAGUCUCUCUCUUCCCGCCAUAACGUGUGUGUGUUGCCAAAAUUUGUCUCGUUGAUUUUUAGUGCAAUUAUUGGAAGGCUUAACCAACUUAUUAUUUCCGUGUUUCAUGUGCAGCUGGUGGCUUUCUUUCUUCCCCUUUUCAGUUCCUUUUUUUUUUCUUCAUCAAUUUGAAUUACUUCAAUUUAAACAUUGAGG